ACAGAGCUGCAUCCUGAAGGAGACACUGACUGUUAUAACUGAUAACAGGGCAAUAACCUACAGUCAGCAAUUUAC
rnacentral:lncRNA from 1 species